ACAGAGUAUUCGGGCGGCGAACCUAUCAAUUGUUUGUUCCCAUACUGUAAAUGGUGUUUCAAAAGUACAUUUUGAGUUAUUAAAGACCAAGGUGUUCAAGGACUUCUAUGAGCUGUGGCCUGAGAAAUUUCAGUACAAGACAAAUGGUGUAACUCAGCGACGAUGGAUUGUAGUAAGCAAUCCCAGUCUUUGUGAUCUUAUCACAAAAUGGCUUGGAACAGAAGCUUGGAUUCGCAAUGUUGACCUUCUGACUGGCCUCCAAGAAUGUGCGACAGAUGCAGAUCUGCAGCAAGAAUGGAAGAUGGUACCUUCUAGCUAAGAUCACGAGCAUUGAUGCAAAAGUAAUGUGUUAACAUGUUCUGGCCAUUUCACAUUGUAGGUUAGGAGGGUUAAUAAAAUGAGGCUUGCAGAAUACAUUGAAGGGCUGAGUGGUUUAAAGGUCUGGAUAAAAAAUUACAAGGUCCUGUUACUGCCUUUACUCAUGCAUACUUAUUUCCUGCAACUUUUCAAGCCUCUUUCUUCUUAUCAUUGUUAAGUGUCAUUGAAGUGGUCAUAGUUUUCUAUAGCUAUCAAAUGAUUUGUCUGCAGUACCGUGGAUCUCUCUUUUUCCUUCUUUCACUACAUGCUAAUUGUUGGUAAUAAAUUAUUCUAACACCAUUUGGAAUUCGCAUAAUUAAAUCUUGUGUCAGUUAAUGAUCACUUGUAUAAAUGAUUAUUACAGAUGUAAGUGGUGCAAUUAAUUGGAUCUGUAUACUAAUGUAUUCUCUUCUCUUUUUUUCUUUUUUCUUUUUCCUUUUUGGGGUAUAAGUAUUUUCCAGUAAGUAGCUAAUAGUUGGUUCUUCCCUUUCCAGAAUAUGAAUGAGAGUGACAGGAGGAAGGUUGUACCGCGUGUCUGCAUAAUUGGAGGGAAAGCUGCUCCUGGAUAUGAGAUUGCAAAAAAGAUUAUCAAACUUUGUCAUGCUGUUGCAGACAAAAUUAACAAUAAUAGUGAUAUGUGAGAGCUCCAUUGCGACACUAUCUUUUGGUAAGUCAUUUCACAAUAUUACAUUUAUAUUUGUAAUAUUUAUAAUUAAUAUUGUUUUAUGUUAUAGGAACAUUUUGACAUCAACUUGAAUGAUGAGACAACUUAAAAAUGCAUUGAUGAACAAAUGAGAAAAGCUUGGAAGGGUCAUUGUGGGUAAUCAACCAACUUAUGAAGAGUUAGUUGAACGACUUAAUGAUACAACUUCCCGCCUUAAUGCUGCUAACGAACAACUUAGUGUAGUUGUUGAUAUACUUCGUCAUAACAAUUUGAUGGCACCGCCUCCACCACCUCCAACAGACCAAGCUUUAGAUGCAAAUUUAAGAGAGGCGCCAUCUAUUUCAGUUCGGGAGUCACAAGAUGAUUCUUAGUUUAUUUACAUUAAUUUACUAAGGAAUGAACUUUAUGAAGUUUUUUUUAUUUUGGUAAGGGUAACCUUAAAAUGAUAACUUUAUGACUUAUUUUAGUAUUGAACAUUAUAAAGAAUUUUAGCAUUAAACAUUUUAUUAUUGAAUGGUUUUUUUCUA